GUAGUAGUAUUUUUACCAUUUAAAAAACGAUUUAAAACAUGUAAUAAUUAAAAACACCCAAUAAAAUGAACGGGGAACUCGCAGCUGCUUUGUAAAACUGCCUUUAGAAGUAUUGAAAUUGAGUAAUAUAAUAACUAUUUUGCAUUUAUUUCAUGUUAACCCCCCUCUCUCUUUUAUGUGUUCUUCCAUUAGUGUGUUUGAGUGCGGCCCGGCGCAGGAUAGAGGUGGGCCCGCGGAACUGACUGAGCAUAAAAUAAGGCAGUUGCUGCUGGAGCUGUGCCAUAGAGCAGGUGGCAGCCAGUACCUCCGGCAAAUCCAUCACAGCAUCCAGCUCAAUGAGUUUACUGAGGUCCGUCCUAACGCCGCAUGCAGAGACACAUUCACAUCCGGACUCCCCUUUGGGACCUGUUGUGUUCUCUUCUGAAGCAAGCAGCCAAAACCAACUUAUAACUCAAUUCAACCCCCUCACAGAGUGCAAUUCUAUCGGCCAUAACAAGUUCGAUCAGGCUGCUAUGGCUGAGAGGGAGUGGAAUUGGGCCCAACUGCUGCCAGCCUUUCAGAGCAUGAGUCAGGUGACCUUCACGACGCUGCUCUCUAACAGACUAGCACCUGACACCAUGAGAGACAGCAACAGCAAACUUCUAGACAUGACCCACACAAACUUUUUGCCAGAGUUACAGUGCUUGGUGACAGGAAGGCUUUAAAACAACACAGAGGUUUAACGAUCUGUGUUACCAUUCACAUUUGUCUUCUUUGUUGUAGAAACUUUACUGUACAUUAUACAUAUGCUGUGUUCCGGAUAUAGGAUACUUCAGUAGGAUAUGAAGUAUAUGUAUCUGGCUUCCAGCCUUGUAGCAUUCUGUAAUAUAAGCCUAUGUUCUGUAAUAUAAGAUGAUGUACAAUUAUCUUUUACUGUGCCUCCGCACACAAUCUUUUUUUAAUGCUUUUUGAAAGAUCUGUCUUAUGUUAACCAAGUUUUAUGAAAUGUUAUUAUAAUGUAAAAUAACUGUUUUCUCUUUUUAAAGGUGCCAUAGAAUGCAUUGAUACACUAUUUUAAAUUGUUCUCUGAUGUCCUCAGAGUGUGUAUGUGAAGUUUUAUCUCAAAAUACCCCACAGAUCAUUUUUUAUAGCUUGUUGAAAUUGCCACUUUUAGGGUAUGAGCCAAAACCCGCUGUUUAUGUGUUUGUCCCCUUUAAAUGUGAAUGAGCUGAUGCUCCCACCUCCCUUUUCAGAAGAGUGUGGAGCUUCAAGAGCUCAUGCUCGUGAUCAUACCACCGUUGUUACGGUUUAACUGGUGGUGACCGUGUUACUGAUCCUCACAUUGCUUCCAUCCAAAUGCAAUUUUUAACUACCACAUUCCUAUUCACGAUCAUUCUGGUAGCACGUGAAGGCAGCAUUAGUGAAAACAGGCAGAGACAAUGGUAGCUUUAGCAACAUUAGCAUUACAGAGAGCCAAGAAGCUCUUUUAGAAAAACAAAAUGUAAGGCGUGAUGCUUACUUUGUCUGGAGUCUGGACGUUUGCGCAAGAAGCAUUGGUAUCGAUCCCUCUUUCAAAAGCAAUCUUUGCACACCUCCAGCACUGAACAGACCCUCAUUUGUGAGGCAGUCUCGCGUAAAAUGUUAGCACAAACGUAUAGGACUUUUUUUUUUUUUUUUUUUUUUUUUUGGGACAUUUCCUUUGAAAAUGAAUUGUAACCACCGUGU
ensembl:lncRNA